GAUGAAGAACGUAGCGAAAUGCGAUAAGUAGUGUGAAUUGCAGAAUUCAGUGAAUCAUCGAGUCUUUGAACGCACAUUGCGCCCCCUGGCAUUCCGGGGGGCAUGCCUGUCCGAGCGUCAUUGCUGCCCUUCAAGCCCGGCUUGUGUGUUGGGUCGUCGUCCCCCCCGGGGGACGGGCCCGAAAGGCAGCGGCGGCACCGCGUCCGGUCCUCGAGCGUAUGGGGCUUUGUCACCCGCUCGAUUAGGGCCGGCCGGGCGCCAGCCGGCGUCUCCAACCUUCUAUUUUACCAGGUUGACCUCGGAUCAGGUAGGGAUACCCGCUGAACUUAAGCAUAUCAAAAGCGGAGGA
rnacentral:misc_RNA from 1 species